rnacentral:rRNA from 1 species
GAUCAUGGCUCAGGAUGAACGCUAGCUACAGGCUUAACACAUGCAAGUCGAGGGGAAACGACAUCGAAAGCUUGCUUUUGAUGGGCGUCGACCGGCGCACGGGUGAGUAACGCGUAUGCAACUUGCCUAUCAGAGGGGGAUAACCCGGCGAAAGUCGGACUAAUACCGCAUGAAGCAGGGAUCCCGCAUGGGAAUAUUUGCUAAAGAUUCAUCGCUGAUAGAUAGGCA